rnacentral:rRNA from 1 species
CCCUUAGAUGUUCUGGGCCGCACGCGCGCUACACUGAUGCAUUCAACGAGCACCCGCUGGGCCGAGAGGUCCGGCUAAUCUUUGAACGUGCAUCGCGCUGGGGAUAGAUGAUUGCAAUUAUUCAUCUUCAACGAGGAAUUCCUAGUAAACGCAAGUCAUCAGCUUGCAUUGAUUACGUCCCUGCCCUUUGUACACACCGCCCGUCGCACCUACCGAUUGAAUGGUCCGGUGAAAUUCUCGGACGCGGACUUGCGAUGUUAAUUCGGAGCUUGACUGUGAAAGUUAAUUAAACCUUACCAUUUAGAGGAAGGUGAAGUCGUAACA